CCUCUUGUUUUUCAAAACUGUUGAAUAAAAAAUUAUUUUAAACAGAUAAAUUGAAAUGGAUUGCUUGUCGAUUAACUGGAAGAAAGCGGUAAACGAAACGCACACAAACAAGAAAGUUGUGUUUCUUUUUGAUGUAUUAUACAUACCCACUAUUUUGUACUUGGAAAGCACAACGAAAGCUGACUCGAAAUCAUGCUGUUUGGGCCCCCUCUUGUACAAUGUACAUAGGAAGUGGACUCCUUGAGAAGGUGAAAGGUCUGCUUUACAUCAUUUUCAAUGGAUGUACAA